GGCCUUGACAUACUACGAACUUUCCAGAGAUGGAUUGGUGCCUUCGGGAACUUAGAUACAGGUGCUGCACGGCUGUCGUCAGCUCGUGUCGUGAGAUGUUGGGUUAAGUCCCGCAACGAGCGCAACCCUUUUCCUUAUUUGCCAGCGGGUCAUGCCGGGAACUUUAAGGAUACUGCCAGUGACAAACUGGAGGAAGGCGGGGACGACGUCAAGUCAUCAUGGCCCUUACGGCCAGGGCUACACACGUGCUACAAUGGUCGGUACAAAGGGUUGCUACCUCGCGAGAGGAUGCUAAUCUCAAAAAGCCGAUCGUAGUCCGGAUCGCAGUCUGCAACUCGACUGCGUGAAGUCGGAAUCGCUAGUAAUCGCGGAUCAGAAUGCCGCGGUGAAUACGUUCCCGGGCCUUGUACACACCGCCCGUCACACCAUGGGAGUUUGUUGCACCAGAAGUAGGUAGUCUAACCGCAAGGAGGACGCUUACCACGGUGUGGCCGAUGACUGGGGUGAAGUCGUAACAAGGUAAGCGUAGAUGA
rnacentral:rRNA from 1 species